CGAUCUGAUUGGGAGUCUACAGUCUACGGUCUACAGUCACCGUAGACAGUCACCGUAGACAUUUGCACUUCUGUAGACUCGACCUCUGCGAAUUCCCCAAAUGUGGGAAUCUCAACUGCAUAAUUUCUGUUAGUGGGGGACUGCGUUCGCGCUCUCCCCUG